GAUGAACGCUAGCUACAGGCUUAACACAUGCAAGUCGAGGGGAGGCGAUAUUGGAAGCUUGCUUCCGAUAGGCGUCGACCGGCGCACGGGUGUGUAACGCGUAUCCAACCUGCCCACCACUUGGGGAUAACCUUGCGAAAGUAAGACUAAUACCCAAUGAUAUCUCUAGAAGACAUCUGAAGGAGAUUAAAGAUUCAUCGGUGAUGGAUGGGGAUGCGUCUGAUUAGCUUGUUGGCGGGGUAACGGCCCACCAAGGCGACGAUCAGUAGGGGUUCUGAGAGGAAGGUCCCCCACAUUGGAACUGAGACACGGUCCAAACUCCUACGGGAGGCAGCAGUGAGGAAUAUUGGUCAAUGGGCGAGAGCCUGAACCAGCCAAGUAGCGUGCAGGAUGACGGCCCUAUGGGUUGUAAACUGCUUUUAUAAGGGAAUAAAGUGAGUCUCGUGAGACUUUUUGCAUGUACCUUAUGAAUAAGGACCGGCUAAUUCCGUGCCAGCCGCCGCCGUAA
rnacentral:rRNA from 1 species